rnacentral:rRNA from 1 species
AUUGAACGCUGGCGGCAUGCUUUACACAUGCAAGUCGAACGGCAGCGCCGUCUUCUGCCUGGGUGCUAGUGUCGCACGGGUGUGUAUUACAUCUGAACGUGCUCAGCUUGACUUUAUAACCCCUCGAAAGCCGGAUUAAUACCACAUGCUAGCUGCUGGUGCUACCUGGGGGGCGAAAGACCUCUCCCUCUUUUGGCGAUCGAUGCCGGGGUAGCUAGUUGGUUGGGUAAAGGCUUACCUAGGCGACGAUUCGUAGCUGGACUGAGAGGACGACCAGCCACAUUGGAAGUGAGACAGGGACAAGACUCCUACGAGAGGCAGCAGUGGGGAACUUUGGACAAUGGGGGCAACCCUGAUCCAGCCAUGCCGAGUGCGGGAAGAAGGCGUUCGGGUUGUAAACCGCGUUUGUUGGGGAAGAAACCCUCUGGGCUAAUACCAAGGGGGGAUGACGGUAACGGAAGAAUAAGCACCGGCUAACUACGUG